rnacentral:lncRNA from 1 species
AAAUAGACCAUGGACUUGGUGCAGGUAAUUCAUCUGAAAAAUAUCGUCUCCUGAUCAACUAAAAAAACGUGGCUUGCUGAAGUUAGAUGAUGUCCCGUGCAAAAACAAAAGGGCUUAUAGAGCGAACAAAGGAAUAAGAAUGGUACAGACCAGACGAAAAAACUUCAUCACUGCUUCCUUAUCAACCCUUGCUUCUUUUGCAGCCUGUGCAAGUCCAACAGAUAUGAACCAUUCUAUUACGAACUAAUAAAGAAACAACCAAAUAUUCUUGAAACAACAGAUGUUGAUGCAAUUAUAUGCUUAAAGUAAAAUUCUUACAGCAAGAAUCCCUCCACUGCUAGGGAAACUCUCAGUCAGGGGAAGUUCCUCACUAGAUGGAAGCAAACCCUGCUUCUCAACCCACUGGCGCGCAACAUCAACAAGAUUACCACUGCUCCCUCUCGU